CCAAUAGCGUAUAUUAAAGUUGUUGCAGUUAAAAAGCUCGUAGUUGAAUUUCGGGACCAAUCUGCCGGUCGUGCCUCCGGUACGCACUGGUUUUAUUGGUUUCUCCCUUCUGACGAACCAUGAUGUCAUUAAUUUGGUGUCAUGGGGAAUCAGGACUGUUACUUUGAAAAAAUUAGAGUGUUUAUAGCAGGCUCACGCUUGAAUACAUUAGCAUGGAAUAAUGAAAUAGGACGUUUGACCCUAUUUUGUUGGUUUCUAGGAUCGACGUAAUGAUUAAUAGGGAUAGUUGGGGGCAUUAGUAUUCAAUUGUCAGAGGUGAAAUUCUUGGAUUUAUUGAAGACUAACUACUGCGAAAGCAUUUGCCAAGGAUGUUUUCAUUAAUCAAGAACGAAAGUUAGGGGAUCGAAGACGAUCAGAUACCGUCGUAGUCUUAACCAUAAACGAUGCCGACUAGGGAUCGGUGGGAGUUAGUUUUAUGACUCCAUCGGCACCUCAUG
rnacentral:misc_RNA from 1 species